CCUCGAUAGCGUAAAAGUUAACUCAAAUUUGUAUGGAGUUGGAACAUUUGCCGCUAGGGGUACUGUUCCUACUACAUACAAAUUUGAGUUAACUUUUACGCUAUCGA
rnacentral:pre_miRNA from 9 species